UCAUGCACACUGCCCCAGGCUGCCAAAAAGGCAGCCAUCAGCGUUGCUUAGUGAAGGCAGCUUAGUUCUGCCAGCCAUCUUAUCUCCCCUGCUGCAUGGGCGAUAGCUUUUAUCUGUGAGUAUAAACAUCAAAAUGGAACUGUAAUCGUAUCUUAGUCCUACAGAAGAUUGCUAGCUGUUUCUCAGAUAUGAAGAAACUCCUUCCAUUGCAGAAAGGUCUCCUUCUGUCCUCUUGUCACUGGCCCUGCCUGAAGUCUCAUCAUUAUUACAUCCUUUGUGCUAUAGAAACUACCAUUUGGAACAAUCAGGUCCCACUGGGGCCUCAGAAAUGGACCUUAGGCCUGGAGGUAGUAGAAACAUCAUCAGAAGAUAAUGAGAAGGGCUGCACCUCUGCUGCUGCUUUAAAUGUCCACUGAUGGAGAUUUCCAAAUUUUGACAUACUUCAGUUCUCCAAGGCUCUUCUGUUAGGAGUUGUGAUCUACAACACACGUGUCAGAAUUAAAGCCCACCCUCUUUCAUCCUUUCUGCUAACAAGAUAUCCAAAGAUUUUCCUUAGGCUGAAGAAGGGUUUAUAAAUUACAGUCCAGUGUCCCAGCUACAAUGUAGGUCUGUUGCUUUAGAGCAUGUUUACAUAAAAGUAUAUAUUUGCUUUCACUUUAACUCUAUCAACCCUAUCCCUGCUGUUGAAAACCUUUUUCUUAUAGGUUUGCAUUGCUGAUGCAUUUCUUGUUUUCCAUAUACAUAGCUCUGCAGAGCAGGCACUGUUUUCAUUUUAUGUCUUCUUCAGUGUUAUUACAUUUUUUUAUCCUUUGAAAAAUAACUCCAUUAAGGGUUAAUUCUAUGUCAUUGAAUACCAAGCAACCUGAUGUAACAAUUGUGAAGAAAAUUUUCAGCUCAAAAUUAUUAACUACAGACCACGCAGAUGGCUGUCUGUUUAUGUGGUUAAAACCAGAAAUGCAUACUCACUGUUAUUGUUUUCUGAUGUAAAAAGAGAUGCUAUUCAUUUUCAUACAGAUAUAAAAUGCUUGACAAACCCAAAUUAUUUCAUUAAUAGCGCUAACAGCAGUGAAUUUUCAUUAUUUAUUAUUUGUUGUAUAUACAAAUGUGUCUUUCUUUAUUACAUUCAUAACCUGUCAAUUUUCAACAAAAACUUCUUUUUAUAAAACGGAAAAAAAUCUAGUGCAUUUAUAUAACAAACGUAUCCAUGGAGUGUACAGUUUUGUACUAUGUGCAUGAAAGUUCCUGGCCUGACAUCAACAGUCUGUGCACAUCCAAUUCCCUCAACAUACCUAAUCCCUGGCUUGGUGCAAUUUCUCUCAGUUACAGGUAGCAGGCAAAAACAUCACUUCUUGCAGUCAGUUUAACAGCUAUUAGGUAAACUAAAUGUUCUCUCUAUUUUUGUAUUGCAGACACAACUAAUUACAGUAUUUCAUCACUUGUAACAGGUUAACUUAUUUUAUUUUGUUAAAGCUUCAAGGUAAUGAAUUUGCUUGUGAGCAGUUUGUAAAUAAUCACAACAGCCAUUACAGAAACACCCUCUUUUUCAUAUUUGACAUGAAUAAGAUAGUUAAACAGUUCCUGCUGCAGGUGAGUGAUACUUUAUACAAAUAUACAUAUACCUGAGAACCACUCUGUUGUUUGUUUGCUAAUGCGUGGGCAUAACCACUUGUUUGCAUUUUCUGGUGUGGUAGUUUGUUUGGUGCCAGGAUUCCUCUCUCUGGGUCCUCUCACGUCUUUUCUUAAGGAAGACAUCCCCCUUAUGUGUGGCUCUGGAUUGCUAUGAAGACCUUGGUAUAAGAACUCCUAUGCCUUUUGGUCACAUGAAGUAUUUUGCAGUUGACUUCAGUAUAGUGAAGUUUCCACCUAACUUCAGGCACUUAGGUAGCCUCUUAGGGAUGUGCAGCAUGCAGAAUACCCUUUUUACGCUUUAUUAACUGCAUACCUGGGAGCAUGUUGAUCAGUCUGAGCUGGUUUCAUCCUAUCAGAGACAUAAAGAAAGUUAAGGUUGUGAGGUUUUUGUUCAUUUGUGUGUUUGUUUGUUUUUCUCCCAGAUGGAGAAAAUGCUUUGAAAAUGCUCACUUUCCCAUUCUAUAUUGGAGAAAUGCCAAAGUUCUACAAUGUUUCAGCCAGGUUUGGAGCACUGCCACCAUUGAAGGCCACAAAUCAAAACUAUUUUAUAGCAAGGAAUCAUCCACUUCUGAAGUUCAUAGACCUGCUGAAUAUGCAGUCCUAUCUCUUGUCACAUAGACUUUUUUUUUCCUUUCUGUAGUUCUCAUUUGUUCAUCUCUUUGUAAAGUCAUAGCUUCAAGGCUUUACUGUUACUGGUAUGUCAGGAGGAGUAUGUGAAUAAACCUCUUGUGAAUUAAAGUUUCCUUGCUGUGGUAUACAAAUUUUAGUGAUCAUGAAAACGUGCCAAAUAAGAGUAGCUAAACCAAAGUGUUACAUGACUGUCCUUAACAAUUUUACCAAAAUACUUUAGUGCUGACAAAUAACUCUUUUCACUAGUGUAAUAAUGAAUGAAUAUAGCGCUCCCAGUGGAGCCGCUCAUAUAGUACAUUGUUUGCUUUUUUUUUUUUCUGAGAACAAAAGGAAGCUACUUGGAGACCUUUAACUUUAUUUCAUGAGAGAACUAUGUAUUGAGUCCUGAUGAUCUUCAGAAGUGACAGCUAAUGUAUUGAGCCAAUACAGCAUUCCAAUACGCAGAGAACCAGUUUAUGAUAAUUACUUUUGCAUCUGUAUUUAGAGUACCACAUGUAAUUACUGAAGUGUAUACUUUUCUCUCAGCAAUGGCAUGCAAUUUCCAUUAGUGGUCUUGGCAGUCAUGCACAUGCAUUACAAGCCCUCUAAGUAAUCUACAGCCCCUUGUAAUUAAAUGCAAAAAGAAUUACAGACACUAGAACAUAGUGAAUAAUUCACAACCAAUAACUUGCCUGAUGAAUUUAACUUGGUUUUAUGUACCAAAACACAGCCAGGUAUUCUAUCUUACGUAUUAAGCUACUCCUUUAUUACUUCUUUUAUCUACAGUCCUCUCACAACUUUUGGCAAAAUAUUUCCAAACUGCUAUUGGAAAAAUACUGAUUGUUUACAUAAUUUCUCACUAAAAUUUUACAUUAGGGAUUUGAAUAAAGAUGGUGAAACUCUGAAAUUUGAGAUUCUUCUCUAUACGAAGCCACCUGUUUGAAAAAAAAAUUUCUACAAUUAAAGAAGAAACCACUUCAUUCAAAAAUUCUGUAUCUUGAAACAGUUUUCACGGGAAUUACUUGAAAAAAGUCAACUUCUGUACAGUAGGAAAGUCUCACAGUUUGAAAUUCAAACAGUAUAGAAGUCGAAGAAACCUCCUAGGUCUUUGAAUCACUUCUCUCAUAAUGAAGGUUACUGUAUUGUAUCUUCAAUAACUUACUUAGUACCUUCUAAAUACCACAUACAUUACUUUCCUCACUAUAGUUUCAUUAUAAAUGUUUUUUACACAAGCUCACUGCACAAAUGCCUUUGCCUUUCUGUCAAUACAGUAUUUAACUUAAAUAUCUCUUCUCUUUCUUUGAUGGUAAUACACUUGAGGCAUUUGGAGACAACAGUCUUCUUUUUUUCAGUAUUCAUUUUGUUAGGUUUAAAUAAAGAAAAAAACCACCCUUUUUAUUUCAUCCCGAAGAUAAAUCUUUUAUCUGAUUGGCUGUUUCCUUGUGUGCAUGAUAACUUUCCUGCAUUUCUUUUACACUGCAUCCAUUUUCUUUUCUCAAAUAUCAGUGGCUGGAAUUCUACACAGUAUUAUAAAUGGCAUUUCAUGUGUGUUCAAAACAGAAACAGACUGUUGACUAUAAAACACCAUGGAAUAAAAUAUUCCAUAAAAUUAAUUUUGGAGUAGUCACAACAGUACAUCAUAAUAAGUUCUCUACAGAAACACACGAUGAUUCUGAAUUCUAUCAAGAAAGUACAUCAGCAGAAAAGAAGAGAGGAUAGGAAGAACCUGCCUCACAGCUCCAGUGAAAUGUUGCAACUGCACAGGAAAUCUAAGAGGCCAAAAAAUUCUUAAUCCUUCAGUAGACUAUGAAGCAUUUUACAGAGUAGAACAAAGUAAUUACCCCCAUUUAAACCAGAUGUGGUGAAGUGAUAUGCCCUAAAAGAGAUUAAAAAAAGUCAGGAACCCAUAUUUUUAAGUCCAGCCUUGUGUUUCAUGCACAAUAAAUUUCAUUUGGAUUUUCUCAAAAGAAAAUUUCAAUUAUUUUCACAGAAAUUUCAAUUUAAAGUCCACUUUUCUAGCAUGAUGUUACCACUAAUAAAUGAAUUUUAAAGUUUAUUUAAUCUAUAUUACAUGUAUUUAGAAUUUAGUAAUCAUCUAGUGCUGUGAAAUUAUUUACAUAAUUUCUGCAAAUCAAUCAAAAAUCUACUUUUUGUAAAAUGAUGCUGUAAUAUCACUAUCUAUUAAAAUCAAUAAUACCUAGUCUGACAUUCACAGACAGCUUACCAACUGCCAUCAGUAAAAUAAUUUAUUUCAAUUCCAUUAAACCUGUUGUAGAAACAAUAGCUGGAAAUAAUCAAAAUGCACUCAGUUAUUUUUAUUUUUCUUUUAACGGAAAAAAAUAAAUAUGUACCCGUCUACAGACUGAGUUGGUUUGGUUUUAUUUUAUGUGAAGCUGUUUGUUCUAGGAAUUUUUCAGCUUAAAAAAGACUCUGACUGGAGUCUCUCCUAGAAAUAAUAUCUUGAUUUUUCUAAUGAUGAUCAAAUAGGAAUCUUAAAUUCAAGUUUCCUCUCCUACAAUUUUUCAUGUAAGGAAGCUACAAUAUAUGGCAUCACAUUGGAUAAUGUCAUGCAAAGAAAAUCUGUGCUUGUCAGACAAAACUUUAAAAUAUUGUUAUUUUUAAACAUCAAAACAUUCUUUUCAUUGUCACUGUUGUAUAUGAAAGACUUUAUUAAUUGGAAUUUGACUGCAUUGUUCUUUAAUUAUUCACAAACCCUCCAAUGAAAAAUGCAUUUGUAAUGUAACUUAGAAAAAAGAUUUAAUUUGGGGUUAUUUGGGAACAUUUUAAUGCAGAUGCUUUCUGACUAAAAUAUUACACAACUGGUCAUUUAAGUUAGUUGAUGUAGCUUGUGUUCUGUGAUGAGUAAAAAUGAAAUUCUGUAAACAAUGAAAUAGUAAAGCAUUGAUAUGUUUAUGGUCUUUCAUAAAUAACUUUGUUUUCAUAAGACAUAAAAAAAUUAGAAACCAUAAAGUUAAGGAGUUCUUUUCUAUCAGCCAAGACAUUUUUAAUAUGUCCAGCGCAAUCACUAAAUUAAACAAAACUCACAGUUUGGGUGUAUGAUUACACACUACCUAAAGGAAACAGAAGACAUGCUUACCCUUCAGUACGAGUAAUUUGUUUAAAAACCUUAUUUUAAUUCAAGUGAAAAGAAAUCACAAGUGUUUUGUUGGAGAAAGAUUUUGAGUAUACCCAGAAGGAAGCCACAAGUGCAAAGCUUCAGUCUAGUAUUUAAAGUUACAUGGAGAUGGUUAUUAUUUUCAAGGUCUUUCUUGUUUCAUCUUCCCCUUUUCCAUUUUUCUUUUACGCAUUCAGUAUAGCUGAAACCAGCCUUGGGAGUCUUUCUAAUUUAAAUUAAUUUCUAUUAUUAGAAAGUCAUUUCAACCUCUCUGGAAAUUGGAAUUUGAUUUUACACUCUCUGAACCAAACUCCAGCGGUAAGGACUCUCUUCUCAUGUUUCCCAAACAUCGAAGGCAAGGAAGCACCAAAAGAACCAUUAUUUCCCUCAUUUCUGUCAUUUUAGGAGUCCAUUUCCCUCAUUUUUGGAGACUACAAACAAUCAGAUAAGGAAAGCAGGAGUCAGAAAUGAAGGCAGGAAUUACAUAGAGACAAUGAUUAUACUGCUUUAAGACACAGACAUAAAGCAUUAAAAUCAAAUCCCUGCCUAGUUUACUGCUUGUUGGAAUGACAAAAGAGCAAAUUGAUUUUAAAACUUUUUAAACCAAAGAACACACAAAGAUCCUUUAUAGUGGAAUAUCAUUUAAAUUAUUCUAAUUCUAUAUCUCUCCACCUACCUUUUCAUUUUAUGUACCUGUUGCACAUACAGAAAUGCAUAAAUAAAGAUCAAAUGUAGUAGUAAACAAUUAUGUACAAGAAUCUGGGAAACCUGGGAAAACAUAAUCCAGGAGCACAGCACAGGCAGAGAUCUACUGAAGUGAGGAGUUGCUCUGUGGAAAGAGACCUGGUGCGUCCUGGUGGACAGCAAGCUCAGUCUGCAUUAGCAAGGGCAUCACAAGCAGAGACAAAUUAUCCUGCUCUACUGAGCCCUUGACAGGCCACACUUGGAAUAUUGUGUUCAGUUUUGGUCCCUGCUAUACAAAAAAGAUGUGGACAGGCUGGAAAGAGUCCAGAGAAGGGCCACAAAUAUGAACAAAGGACGGGAAGCUCACCAUGUGAGAAAAGGCAGAGAACUGUGUUUGUUCAGCCUUGAGAAAAGGCUUAGAGGAGACGUCAUCACUAUGUUCCAGUAUUUAAAGGGUGGUUUCAAAGAAGAUGGAGACUACCUUUUUAAAAGGAGUCAAAUGGACAAGAUGAGGAGUAAUGGGUACAAGUUACUCCUGGGGAGAUUCCAAUUGGACACAAGACAAAUUUUCACAAUGAGAUCAGCCAUUGGACAUCUUUAUAUUCAGCUGGACAGGGUGCUGGGCCAUGUUGUCCAGACCAUGGUUUUCCCAAUAAUGGUUGGACCAAAUGAUCCUUGUGGUCUCUUCCAAUCUGAUAUUCUAUGAUUUUGCUAUCUUUUACUUACACAUCUUAAAAUAUGUAACCACUACUAAAAACAAACAUGUUGACAUACUUGUAAAAAAAUUCAGAGUUCCCAGGGAGUAUUUUUCUCACUUAUAUACCUUACUGUAGAAAAAGCUGAACCAUACAGGUUAGGUAUUAUCACACACAACAAUGUUCCAGGCCAUUUCUACCACUGAAUAUAAUCAAAUGGACUGAAUAACGGUUUCAUUUUUUUUUUCCUUUUUUUUAAGAAUAGAGAUUGAAAUGGCUGUAAAUUGUAUAUGCAUUGAAUACAUAAAUGUGUAUGUACAUGUAUAUUACACACAUUCUAGCACUUAUGCAUGAUAUUUACCUAGGUCAAGGACAGAUGGAACAUGGCCCCAUUCAUUUUAAGGCACCAAAAUAUUGACAUAUCUAACACACAAUUACAUAGUUAAAGCAUAUGGCUAAUUGCUUUGAUAAAGUAGAAAAAAAUAAUAAUAGGAUUAUAUAUACUGCUUUGCUUCUUUUGACACAAGUGGAAGUAAUUAUACCAUUGCUUUUGAAUCUCUACAGGGGUCAAAUUUUUCUGCUGGCUGUCCACUGGAUUAUUAUUUAGAAAUUAAUCUCUUAGAUAUAAUUGUAAAUAUAUGGAAUAUGUUUAAAAUAAGCAAACUUUUUGCCUGCUUUGAAUACCUGUCACAAACUCUAUUUUCAAUAAACACAGUAAAAAGUGCAUGGAAUUUUCAUCAUCUUUAUUAAAAUUUUGGCAAAGUUGUAGUGAAAAACCAAUUAUGUUGUAGAAUCUAUAAAAAUAAAUCUAUAAUAAAUUGUCAUAUUUGAAGAAAAAAAUGUAAUGACUAAUCAGUUAUUUGAUUAUGAGACAGGCUAAUUAAAUUACCAAGAGGUCUAGUGGAAAACCAUUAGUAACUGAAUAAAUCUCUCAUCGUUGGGGAAUUUAUUGAUUGCAAGUACAUACAUAUAUAUUGAUUUUUUUUUAUUUUUGGCAAGGUGGUUUAAGUAAUUAAGAUCAUGAAGAAGAUGAACAUUUUAGAUUUUCUAAAUGACAAAUUAGAUGCCAAAUAGAUUGCCUGCAAGAAAGAUUGUAUUAAUAUAUGAAAUUGCAAGGCAAAUGUUACCUGUCCAUAUUUAAUAUAUGAUAACAGAAGGCAGACUGCAUUCUCAGUAACUUGUUUGAAAAAAUAACUGCAGACACCUCAGAUAUAUGCAGAACUAACUCUAACAUUUGAACAGGUACAGAUUUGGAAUUCUGUGUAAAAAGAUGGUUUUUUCUCUCUCUUACUUGGAAAAACUUCUUACUUUCAAAAAUAAACUUGACCAAAACCUGCUGAAACUAACAGAUUCUCAUUGUCUUUCGAUAAGACUUUGCUUUCUGGAAAGACUUUCCUUUCUGGAAUCUCACUGCAAAGCAUAUGUCUUAUGCACAAACCU